AAGCAAAUUACAAAGGGAAGAAACACUCACUGAGUACCUGCCUUGUGCCAGACCCUCGACCAAUGUUACAUUACAUUCUGACAAUAACACCAGGAUGUAGAUACUGAUAUUAUCCCCAUUUUGCAGUUAAGAAGAAUGAGGCUCAGACAGGUGCAGUAACUUGAUCAAGGUCACUCAGCUAUAACAAGGGGAGUUGGGACUAACCUGGGCUUAGCUGGGGCUCUCCUUACUGCUCUAGGUGACACCAAAAGUACAACUACAGCUGUUGGAAGAGGGAAGGGAGGCUGUGUGUUAGGGAUUCCUAAGGAAUCACGAACCUCUUGUGAAAUGAUUAUCAAUUCUCUUCUAUGUUCUCCUCUGUUUGAUCUAGAAAGGAAGAAACUUGGAAGCUGGCCAAGUAAAAUAAUUUUAUUCAUUCAUUUGUCUUUCUAUCAAUCCAUCCCCCUAUACCUCCUUUCUUCCAUCCUUCCAUUGUUACAUUCACUCAUUCAUCUAUUCUCCCAUCCAUCCAUCCAUCCAUCCAUCCAUCCAUCUACUCGUUCAUCUAGCCAUUUCCACUCAUCUCUCUGCAUUCUUCUAUCUUCUUCCAUUCUACCUUCUUCCAUUCUUCUAUCUUCCCAUCCAUCCAUCCAUCCAUCCAUCCAUCCAUCCAUCCAGCUAUCCAUCCAUCUAUCUACCCAUCCAUUUUUUAUUCAUUCACCUAUCCAUCCACUUGUCAACUCUCCAUCCAUCCUUUCCAUUCAUCCUCUCUUCCACCCAUCCAUCUUUCUACUCAUCUCUCUGUCUCUCCUUUUCUUCCAGCCUCUCAUCUUCCCAUUUAUCUACCUAUUAUACAUCCAUUCUUCCUUUCUUCCAUCAUUUCAGCUAUCUAUCCAUUUAUUCAUUUAGUCAUUGACUUUAAACAUUUUAUUUUCUUCUUUUAAAAUUAUUUAAUUAAUUUUUUGCCUUUCCUAUGGUGCUGAUAGUUAUUGACUCUUUUUUCUUUGUUUUUUUUUUUUGUUUGUUUGUUUUUCUGUUUUUUUUUUGUUUUGUUUUUUUGAGUCUAGGUCUUGCUGUAUUGCCCAAGGCUGGAGGACAGUGAUGCAAUCAUGGCUCCCUGCAGCCUUGAUCUUCUGAGCUCAGUCCCUGCUUUGAUAACCACAGGCAGCUACGGGAAAGAGUGGGAAAAGUGAGAUAGUCCCAAGAAACAGGCAACAGCAGGGUCUCUUCGAUCAGAAAUUUGGGAGACAAGGAAGGGCUGUUUUGCUGCAAUUCACUUGAUGUCAAAGCAGGAAAGACCUCGGACAAAGCUUCAAGUCUAACCUUUUUUGUUCUCGGAGACAGAGUCUUGUGAUAUUGCCCAGGCUGGUCUUGAACUCCUGGCUUCAAGUAAUCCUCCCGCUUCAGUCUCCCAAAGUGCUGGGCUUACAGGUGAGAGCCACCGUGCCCCGUCCUGGCUUCUGUUAUUAUCACGUGGCUAGCGUAAGGGGUGUUGGGUAGGUAGCUCCCUUUCUGGGAAACAUUGGCCCCAUCCACCCACAUCCGAUGGGGCUCUCCCAUUUCAACAGGUCUUAAGAAGCCAUCUCCUCAACAAAAGUGGGCCCCUGGGAGGAAUUCUCCUGACAGCCACUAAAACAGUAUGCUUGACCUGCAUCUCAUAACGCAUCCAGGAGGAAAUGAAAGCACAGACAGCUGGAGAACCAGGCCCAAGGUCACAAAACUUAGGUGUAGCAGAGCUGAGAAUUCAAUGUGCAUUUGAUGCUAAGCCAGG